rnacentral:rRNA from 1 species
GAUGAACGCUGGCGGCGUGCCUAAUACAUGCAAGUCGGACGCAGUGCUUCGGCACUGAGUGGCGAACGGGUGAGUAAUACAUAAGCAACCUGCCCCUGUGAGGGGGAUAACUGCUGGAAACGGCAGCUAAGACCGCAUAGGCAUCAUCACCGCAUGGAGAUGAUGUUAAAUAUCCCACGGGAUAGCACAGGGAUGGGCUUAUGACGCAUUAGCUAGUUGGUGAGAUAGAGGCCCACCAAGGCGACGAUGCGUAGCCGGCCUGAGAGGGUGGACGGCCACACUGGGACUGAGACACGGCCCAGACUCCUACGGGAGGCAGCAGUAGGGAAUUUUCGGCAAUGGGCGAAAGCCUGACCGAGCAACGCCGCGUGAAGGAAGAAGUCAUUCGUGAUGUAAACUUCUGUUAUGAAGGAAGAACGGUCAUCGCAGGGAAUGGCGGUGAAGUGACGGUACUUCAUGAGGAAGCCACGGCUAACUACGUGCCAGCAGCCGCGGUAAUACGUAGGUGGCGAGCGUUAUCCGGAAUCAUUGGGCGUAAAGAGGGAGCAGGCGGCAGUGCAGGUCUGCGGUGAAAGACCGGAGCUAAACUUCGGUAAGCCGUGGAAACCGCACAGCUAGAGAGCAUCAGAGGAUCGCGGAAUUCCAUGUGUAGCGGUGAAAUGCGUAGAUAUAUGGAGGAACACCAGUGGCGAAGGCGGCGGUCUGGGGUGCAGCUGACGCUCAGUCCCGAAAGCGUGGGGAGCAAAUAGGAUUAGAUACCCUGGUAGUCC